UCCCCUGCUCCGCUUCUCUGUCUCUCAUCCCUGUCACCACCUCCCUCUCUGUCACUUUCUUAUUCUCUCCCUGCCUCUUUGCACGCUCUUUGCACAUCAGGCCCGGCCCCAGCCCAGGGUCUCUGGGCUCCAGGAAGCCAGCCAGGGGCUGUGCGGGCUGCGCUGUAACUCAGGAACUCCGCCAGCAAUCAUUUCAUUAGGCAGGAAUGGCGUUCCCAUUACCAGAUAGCAGGCCUGCUUCUUCCCCGCCAUGGCCCCCUCCCCGCUGCAAAGCCCCCUUGCAACUUCCUGCUCGCAGCAGCCACACAAGGCCUCAUUCUAAUCCUCCAACUUGUCUGUUUAGUGUCUUUGGAGAGGGGAAAGGAGCAGAAAAGUAGCUUGUCUUUUAUUUUUAUUUGCCUUCUUUUUUUUCCUUCCUCCAGAUAUCCCCCUGGGGCACCGGCCUAGAACAGAGCAACAAAUAUUUACUAAUUCCAUUAACAGAAGAGAGUUGGAAUUUUUUUUUCCCAAGCGAAUAUCCGAGGCCCCAAGUUCAUGUAGCCACCCAAAGUUACACUUUGGUUCACCAAGACGAAGACUCAUCCUUCCUCUCUCUAUGGAUCUUUCAGAUGAAGAAAUUAAGGCUCAGGAGGGAGGAAAAAAAUAAAAGAAAGAAUUGUCCAAGGUCACCAAGGCAUCUGGACUCCCAUAUGUUGAGCUACUUCUGCUUGUGGGGCAGCUGCAAUACAUGAAUUCUUCACUACGUUCACGAGUGCCCUGAAUUCCAUCCACAGAGCUAUUGGAUGUUUGGAGCCCAGGUGAAGAUCCCAGAGCUGGGGAACGAAAGGUUGGAAAAGCCCAGCCAGCUGUGCAAGCCUCCAGAGACACUCUCUUGACUGCGAGGAAAGUGAUAGCCUGCUGGGCUGGACCUGGACUUUGAGACAGAACUUUCGAAUCCGAAGAAGAGAUGAUUUUCAGAUAGUCCUCCUUCCAGGUUCCGGGAAAGGCCAGGCGGGUGUCAGAGGUCUUUGUCAACCCGCUGAGUCAGCAGAGGCAGAAGGCAUUCUUCUUAAGUUCCCAGGGAGAGACUGGAGCUAAAGAUCCUGGGUGACGCCACGUUGCAGUGCCUGCCCCAGAGAGAACUGCAUGGACCAGGUUUUUAUUAUGUCGAUCAUGCUUCAAUAAGGUGGUUUUUUAAAAAAGUCUGCUGAAAGCUGGAAGCGGCCACUUCAACAUCACCCUCAGAAUGGAGCAUACUCAAGGGGAAGCCAAGCUGGAGUACAGAACAAGGAAAAGACUUGGUCUCAUCUGAAUCCAUGAACGCAGCUCUGUCUGAAAGUGAUUCUUCUGGAAUUUUCAAUGACUGGAGUCCGUAAAGUCCCUUCGUCUUAGUUUUUUGAUCAUUC
rnacentral:lncRNA from 1 species